GACGACGCUGGCGGCGUGCCUAACACAUGCAAGUCGAGCGGAGUCGAUCGACGGAAGCCUUCGGGCGGAAGAUGGUUGACUUAGCGGCGGAUGGGUGAGUAACGCGUGGGCAACCUGCCUCGAAGACCGGGAUAACAGCCCGAAAGGGCCGCUAAUACCGGAUAAUGUCGGGGUACCGCAUGGUACUCCGAAGAAAGGGGAAACCCGCUUUUGGAUGGGCCCGCGUCCCAUCAGCUAGUUGGUGAGGUAACGGCUCACCAAGGCGACGACGGGUAGCCGGUCUGAGAGGAUGGUCGGCCACACUGGGACUGAGACACGGCCCAGACUCCUACGGGAGGCAGCAGUUGGGAAUCUUGGGCAAUGGGCGAAAGCCUGACCCAGCGACGCCGCGUGAGGGAAGAAGGCCUUCGGGUCGUAAACCUCUGUCAUGGGGGAAGAAGCAAGUGACGGUACCCCAAGAGGAAGCCCCUGCUAACUACGUG
rnacentral:rRNA from 1 species